UACGUAGGGGGCAAGCGUUGUCCGGAAUCAUUGGGCGUAAAGCGCGUGUAGGCGGUCCGGUAAGUCCGCUGUGAAAGUCGGGGGCUCAACCCUCGGAUGCCGGUGGAUACUGUCGGGCUUGAGUACGGAAGAGGCGAGUGGAAUUCCUGGUGUAGCGGUGAAAUGCGCAGAUAUCAGGAGGAACACCAAUUGCGAAGGCAGCUCGCUGGGACGGUACUGACGCUGAGGCGCGAAAGCGUGGGGAGCAAGCAGG
rnacentral:rRNA from 1 species